rnacentral:rRNA from 1 species
UACGGGGGGGCAAGCGUUGUUCGGAAUUACUGGGCGUAAAGGGCUCGUAGGCGGCCAACUAAGUCAGACGUGAAAUCCCCCGGCUUAACCAGGGAACUGCGUCUGAUACUGGAUGGCUUGAGUUUGGGAGAGGGAUGCAGAAUUCCAGGUGGUAGCGGUGAAAUGCGUAGAUAUCUGGAAGGAAUACCGGUGGCGAAGGCGGCAUCCUCGGACCGGCAUUGACGCUGAGUGAGCGAAAGCUAGGGGAGCAACGGGAUUAGAUAA